GCAGCGCAUCGCUCGGGGAGCCACUCCGCAGAUGGGCUCAGGGAUCGGCAUGGAGCCGGACCCAGGGCAGUGGAGGCGGCGGCUGGGGGGAAGAGGCGGAGUGGUAUAGCGACUGGGCCCGGAACAUGGAGGACAGACUUCAAUCAACUCUGAUGUUCCCUGCUCCCGAGGCACAAGGAACAGAGCAGCCGCUCCGUCUCUCACACACCAGCAUGGUAACAGGCCCUAACGGCCCAACGAGUCUGCGCUGCACAUUUUAAACCCAAUUAACCUACCCGUACGUCUUUGCAAUGUGGGAGGAAACCGGAGCACCCGGAGGAAACCCAUGCAGACACGGGAGAACAUACAAACGCCUUACAGACGGCGACGGGAAUCAAACCCCAAUCGCUGGCGCUGUAAUAGCGUCGCAGUAACCACUACGCUACCGUGCCGCCCUGUGCUGUACUGUUGUGUAUUAUGUAGAGUGUACAUGAUGUGGUCCACAUGGAUGUCAGCAAGCUGUUGGACAAAUCCCACAAGGAAGGUCGAUCCCAUGGGAUCCAGGGUAAAGUGACAAGUUAGAUGCCAGACUGUGUGAGUGACAGGAAGUGAGGGGAACAGUUGACAAGGGCUUCUGUGCCUGAAGGCUGCCUGCAGUGGGACUCCCUGGGGACCAGGACCUGGGCCCAUGCAUUUGAUGGGAAAGGACGACUCUGCUGUCGGUGUGAGGAGCUGAUGGAGGAGUUUGCAGAUGUUACAAUAAUUGGCCAUGUGGCUGACAGUGAGGAGGGAAGCUGAAGGCUGCAGGGAGAUAUCAGUGGGCUGGGCAGAUGGACAGACAGGGGGUAAAUGGAAUUUAAUCUGGGGAAGUGAGGUGAUGCAGGUGGGGAGCCAAAAUGGCCAGGGGACACACAGUACAUGGUGGGAUGUGGAGAAGUGUGGAGGGUUAGAGGGACCCUAGGAAGCAUGUGGACAGGUCCCUGAAGGUGAGGAGGUGUAGGAUUAAUAAACGAUAACUGUAUUCAUAUCUUAAGACGGAUGAGAAUUAUGGCUGCUCGAAAUACUGAUUUAAAAAGUGUCCUUCAGGCCAGAACAGCCACACCACUGCUUACCUGGGCUGGGUGCUGUGUGGUAAUUGCUGUGUCUGGAACUUAAUUGGAUUCCCAUUAUGAUUGACUAUGGAGAUGAUGGUCAAUCUUAACGGGAAAUGGGAAGGCUGUCUCAAACAAUGAAGGUGAUACCUACCUUUGUCUCACCCGAUUGCAAAAUGAUUAGCUGAACCUGUGGUAUGAGGCUGCUCUUUGUCCAUCUGCAGUAGCCCUUUGUCCGUUUCCUGCUCAACCAAGAACUCCGGCACCUGACUCAUUAAAGUGUGCGUGACAAUACCUGUAUAAAUCUCUGUCUACCCCUUUGUACUGAGAGAACUUGGGAAGCGACUCUUAGUGAGUGCUGAAGAGA